GAUCUCUUCAGCAGCACAAAUAAUAAAAUUGGAAUGAAACAUAGAAGAUUAGCAUGGCCCCUGCACAAUCAUGAUACACAAAUUCAUGAAGUGUUCCAUAUUUUU